GGUCAAGUGAAUAAGCGCACAUGGUGGAUGCCAUGGCGUCAGGAGGCGAAGAAGGACGUGCUAAUCUGCGAAAAGCACAGGCGAGCCGAUAAGGGGCGCAAUAACCUGUGAUAUCCGAAUGGGGCAACCCGGCAGCAAUGUCAUCUAUACCAAAAGGUAUAGAAGCGAACCAGGGGAAGUGAAACAUCUCAGUACCCUGAGGAAAAGAAAUCAAAAGAGAUUUCCAAAGUA
rnacentral:rRNA from 1 species